GACGACGGUUGUAUAGACUCUACAUACGGCAGAGUGAGCAGCAAUAGCUCAAAUUUGAAAUCUGGCGUCUUCGACGUCCGAGUUGUAAUUUGUAGAGGAUGCUUCUGAGUAACCACCGACCUAAGUUCCUUGGAACAGGACGUCAUAGAGGGUGAGAAUCCCGUAUGCGGUCGGAAAGGUGCUCUAUACGUAGCUCCUUCGACGAGUCGAGUUGUUUGGGAAUGCAGCUCUAAAUGGGAGGUAAAUUUCUUCUAAAGCUAAAUAUUGGCCAGAGACCGAUAGCGCACAAGUAGAGUGAUCGAAAGAUGAAAAGCACUUUGGAAAGAGAGUUAAAAAGCACGUGAAAUUGUUAAAAGGGAAGGGAUUGCAACCAGACUUGCUCGCGGUGUUCCGCCGGUCUUCUGACCGGUCUACUCGCCGCGUUGCAGGCCAGCAUCGUCUGGUGCCGCUGGAUAAGACUUGAGGAAUGUAGCUCCCUCGGGAGUGUUAUAGCCUCUUGUGAUGCAGCGAGCGCCGGGCGAGGUCCGCGCUUCGGCUAGGAUGCUGGCGUAAUGGUCGUAAUCCGCCCGUCUUGAAACACGGACCAAAAUAACACCCCGGCGAUCUGUCCGCUCUGUUCUUCUUGGUUUCAUUUUCCCCCUCCUGUUAGUUUUCGAAAUGUUAGUCU
rnacentral:rRNA from 1 species